GAGUGACCUAAGAGGAAUAAUCGCCCUGCAUCAGAAGAACAGAGGUUUGGUUGUGGGUUUCUGCAGCUCCGAGAAACCCCUUCUCUAUUUUGGCUCCUGCAGACACUCGGGAAAAACACUGCUUUUGUUCCAGAGAAGACAGAAGGCUAAUGAUUGAAGUUAGCAUGAAACAGCUCGCCAUAUUACUUAACAAGCAAGGCCUCGACUGUACCUGUGUUACUUACCCAAAUUCUGCGUGCUCAACAUUGCAGAGUCCCUGCAUGCUUUGGUACCUGAAGAGGAAGGAGUGCUCCAGACAGUGGAGGGAGAAAAUGAAAUGCUCUUAAAAAUGAAGUUGUGACAACUCUAUUCAGAAACUUGGAGGGAGGGGAAGCUCAUUUCCACACAUUGCCCAACUUCCUGAUUCAGGCAGUUCCUUUCAGCAAACCCUGGGCGGAUGGAAAUUUGCAGAGCUCUGCGUGUCAGCAGCCCCCGGCGCCCUCCUCUCUGCAACCUCUUCCUCCUCUGUACGGGACACCAAGCCACAGGGACAGCAGGAGCGCUGGAGAUCGAGCUGCCCUGGGACUUUUUUGAUUCAUAAAAAUGCUCCACUGCUGCCUGGACAAAAGAGGGGAGGGAGCUCCAGGAAGGGAAGGGAAUCCCCUGGACUCAGCAAGUUCCUGCUCACGGCGCCAGUGGUAGAGGUCCUACUGUCUUCAGCGGGUGUUAGAUUAAUCAUCGCAUCUCCUGCUCCAAGCUGCUCACCGGUCACUGCAACACCAGAGCCAAAACUUUGAGUGCUCGGAGCCACUGCCCCAGCAGUGAAACUCCAUUAGAUCUGUCACGUUGCAAACAGCUGUCCUGCAUGGUCCUGGCCCUGUGUUGCCUAAUUUUGGGCAAAGAUGUGGGGUGGAUUCCUGCCCCAAGGCUUGAUGAUUAAAACAUCAGAGGUUAUAUUUUAUGGAGAGGUGGGACUGAAAGGAGCAGAGAAAAGUAGUGACCUUGCAGUCAUGUUUUGAGAUUAAUUCCUCAGAGGCUGUCUUAGCCUAACUGGAAUAGUGCAUGAAAGGCGAGGUGGGGAUUUGGCUGUGAAAGGUGAAACUUUGAAAUAAAUUGGCUU
ensembl:lncRNA